rnacentral:rRNA from 1 species
CAGUCGCCGCGGUAAUACGAAGGGGGCUAGCGUUGCUCGGAAUGACUGGGUGUAAAGGGCGCGUAGGCGGUUUUGACAGUCAGAUGUGAAAUUCCUGGGCUUAACCUGGGGGCUGCAUUUGAGACGUCAAGACUAGAGUGUGAGAGAGGGUUGUGGAAUUCCCAGUGUAGAGGUGAAAUUCGUAGAUAUUGGGAAGAACACCGGUGGCGAAGGCGGCAACCUGGCUCAUUACUGACGCUGAGGCGCGAAAGCGUGGGGAGCAAACAGGAUUAGAUACCCCCGUAGUCCCUGUCUCUAUACA